CUGUCAUGAAUAUAUUGUAACGUGUAAGUCACAUGUCUUUCUCACAGGUCUUAUCUGUUUUUGGUCCUCACAGUGAGUCUCUGAACUCUCCCCUUUAUAUGCUUUACUGAUAAGAACCAAAGCAAACAGACAGUGAGUGGAGCGGACCAUCACAGAGCAGCUUUUUAACUCACCACAAAAAUGGGAAAGGUGAUAUUUUAAAGAAGUUCAACAGCUGGAGAGGUGAUCAAGAAGACAAAAACAAAAGCUGCCAAAAACUGUGCAGAAGGAAAGAGCCAUGAAGCUUACUGGGACUAUCCUUAAACUGGAGUACACUCGUGGCAGCACAGAUACUGAACAUUUAAACAACAUGAUGACGAUACCACUACAAACAAAUACAAAGGGACGCUGUUGAUUCAACUCAGGCCCUUUCCUUGCCACUUUGAAUGAAGAAGCUUUACCAAUAGGCCGCUCCUCAAAUCCAGAUAAGUGCAAGGCAAAUGUAUUCUAAUCUCUUAAUUCAAUCUAACUGAUCUUUGACCACAGAAAGCAUUUUCCUUGUUAUAUUGCAAUCCCUUGCUGCUUCAUCUCCCUAAACUAAAUAUGCAAUUUACAUACAUUAUAGCCUGUGGUCUGUAGUGC
rnacentral:lncRNA from 15 species